rnacentral:rRNA from 1 species
AGGAACACGCCGCGUGAGUGAUGAAGGCUUUCGGGUCGUAAACUCUGUUGUUAGGGAAGACAAGUGCUAGUUGAAUAAGCUGGCACCUUGACGGUACCUAACCAGAAAGCCACGGCUAACUACGUGCCAGCAGCCGCGGUAAUACGUAGGUGGCAAGCGUUAUCCGGAAUUAUUGGGCGUAAAGCGCGCGCAGGUGGUUUCUUAAGUCUGAUGUGAAAGCCCACGGCUCAACCGUGGAGGGUCAUUGGAAACUGGGAGACUUGAGUGCAGAAGAGGAAAGUGGAAUUCCAUGUGUAGCGGUGAAAUGCGUAGAGAUAUGGAGGAACACCAGUGGCGAAGGCGACUUUCUGGUCUGUAACUGACACUGAGGCGCGAAAGCGUGGGGAGCAAACAGGAUUAGAUACCCCCGGUAGAAA